GAGUGGCCGUGGCGGAAGAGAAGAAGCCUGACGAUGCGGGGGAAAUAGAGAGCUUGAAGAAAGCUUUGGUGGAUUCGUUUUUUGGGACGGAUCGUGGCUUGAAAGCUAGCAGUGAGACCAGAGCUGAGAUUGUUGAGCUUAUAACUCAGCUCGAGGCCAAGAACCCGACUCCAGCACCAACUGAGGCUUUGCCUCUUCUCAAUGGCAAAUGGAUUCUCAAGUAAGUUUUUUGUCUUGCCCUUGCCGCUAAUAAAAAAACUUCGGUUGAUGGACUUUGGUUAAUAGACUUAUAUGUAACUUAGACCAAAGAAAACUAUGAAAAAUAAAAUCAUAAAAAAAGCACACGUAGUGUUGGACAAUCUAACGCAUGCUGAUGUUUGAUGUAUUGAAUUGUGGUUCAGGUACACAUCAUUCCCGGGUCUGUUUCCACUGUUGUCAAGGGGUCAAUUUCCUUUAGUUAAGGUGGAGGAAAUAUCACAGACCAUUGAUGCCGAAAGUCUCACUGUGCAGAACUCUGUUCAGUUCGCUGGACCAUUGGCCUCAAGUUCUAUUAGCACCAGUGCUAAAUUCGAGGUUCGAAGCCCCAAACGUGUGCAG
rnacentral:lncRNA from 1 species